GGUGGGGUAGCUCAGUUGGUUGGAGCAUUGGCCUGAUACACCAAGGUUAUGGGUUUGACCCCCCAGUCA
rnacentral:tRNA from 1 species